rnacentral:rRNA from 1 species
CCUACGGGAGGCAGCAGUGGGGAAUAUUGGGCAAUGGGCGAAAGCCUGACCCAGCAACGCCGCGUGAGUGAAGAAGGCCUUCGGGUUGUAAAGCUCUGUUAUGCGAGAAGAAGGACGUGACGGUAUCGCAUAAGGAAGCCCCGGCUAACUACGUGCCAGCAGCCGCGGUAAU